ensembl:misc_RNA Metazoa_SRP Metazoan signal recognition particle RNA
GCCAGGUGUGGUGGCAUGCACCUGUAGUCUCAGCUACUCAGGCUGAAACAGGAGGAUUGCUUGAGCCCAGGAAUUCUGGGCUGUGGCGCGCUAUUCCAACUGGGUGUCUGCACUAAGUUUGGCAUCAAUAUGGUGGCCUCCUGGGAGCGGGGGACCACUAGGUUGCCUAAGGAGGGGGUGAACCAGCCCAGGAUGCAAAAACACUAAUUCAAAGUAUUAUGCAUCCCUACGUUUAUAGCAGCAUUAUUUACAAUGGCCAAGAUAUGGAAGCAUCCCAAGUGUCC